CUGGCUCAGGAUGAACGCUGGCGGCGUGCCUAAUACAUGCAAGUCGAACGAGUUCUGAUUAUUGAANGGUGCUUGCAUCUUGAUUUAAUUUUGAACGAGUGGCGGACGGGUGAGUAACACGUGGGUAACCUGCCCUUAAGUGGGGGAUAACAUUUGGAAACAGAUGCUAAUACCGCAUAAAUCCAANAACCGCAUGGUUCUUGGCUGAAAGAUGGCGUAAGCUAUCGCUUUUGGAUGGACCCGCGGCGUAUUAGCUAGUUGGUGAGGUAACGGCUCACCAAGGCAAUGAUACGUAGCCGAACUGAGAGGUUGAUCGGCCACAUUGGGACUGAGACACGGCCCAAACUCCUACGGGAGGCAGCAGUAGGGAAUCUUCCACAAUGGACGCAAGUCUGAUGGAGCAACGCCGCGUGAGUGAAGAAGGCUUUCGGGUCGUAAAACUCUGUUGUUGGAGAAGAAUGG
rnacentral:rRNA from 2 species